rnacentral:rRNA from 1 species
AGUGAACGCUGGCGGCAUGCUUUACACAUGCAAGUCGAACGGCAGCGGGGGCUUCGGCCUGCCGGCGAGUGGCGAACGGGUGAGUAAUGCAUCGGAACGUGCCCAUGUCGUGGGGGAUAACGUAGCGAAAGCUACGCUAAUACCGCAUACGCCCCUGAGGGGGAAAGCGGGGGAUUCUUCGGAACCUCGCGCGAUUGGAGCGGCCGAUGUCGGAUUAGCUAGUAGGUGAGGUAAAGGCUCACCUAGGCGACGAUCCGUAGCGGGUCUGAGAGGAUGAUCCGCCACACUGGGACUGAGACACGGCCCAGACUCCUACGGGAGGCAGCAGUGGGGAAUUUUGGGACAAUGGGCGCAAGCCUGAUCCAGCCAUGCCGCGUGAGUGAAGAAGGCCUUCGGGUUGUAAAGCUCUUCGGUCCGGGAAGAAAACGUGGUCUCUAACAUAGGCCAUAGGUAGACGGUACCGGACUAAGAAGACGACCGGCUAACUACGUAGCCAGCAC